AAAUAGGCUUUAUAGUCAUUAAUGAUAUUAGACUGCAAUUCUAAAGGAGUAUAUUUUAUAC
rnacentral:tRNA from 1 species